GUACAAUGACUGACAAGAUUACAUGAUUAGAAAGUACACUGCGUGCAUGAGAUCAGAGUUUAUGAAACUCUGGAGCCGGUUAUAUCCAAUGGAUAGAUGAUGUGCAUCAAGUGAGACCCUAGGUCGCGGGCACGUGAUUGCAGUCAGUGCUGUGUGGUGCCAAGACAUGGCUCCAGAGAAAUCUGUCGGUAAUUUAAAACAUACUUUCCUAAAAUAAUGUAUGUAUGUGUUUCUGGUCAAAGCAGGGAUGCUGACCUCUCCACUUGGGAGUUUUGGUGUUUGUGGACUCUCUCAGCAGACACAGUUGGUGUCAGUGUUUGAUGCUUUUAGGGCUGGUGGUGUGGUGCACCGUGGUUUUGUAGCUUCUUUCAACCAGCCUCACUGUUUAACAAAACCAGAUACAGCUAAAAUAACAACAGUGGGAGACCAGGUUUGGGACCGUGAGGAGAGGUUAGCCCCUCUGGGCUGGUACAGAGACCCUGCCUGUAUUGUGGGGUCCAUGACAUGCAGGAAGGGACUAGGUUGUUCACUGCCUGUUCCUCACUUGGGUGAGCAGCCACGGCUGGUGCUGCCAACCAUCUCAAACCAGCUCAAUGUGAAGUUCAUUGCACCUCUUUUCCUGAUCACCUUCUCUGACUUGGCACCUGCUUUGGGCCGAGGCACUUCAAGCGAGAUCCUGAGGAGGCACAGAUGUGUUGCGUCUCCUUGCUGAGGCUGGUAUACAGAAGUGUAAGCCAGGCUCAGCGAGGGGAGAAAACUAAUUAGCCCUUCGCCAGCACCUGCCAGGUUGGUUCAGCACCCAUAGACCUGAGAGUGCGCUCCAUGAGAAUCGUGUCCUACCUUACAGCCGUAAGGGCUCUUUCCUGCUGAAGGCCCUGGCUGAUCUCACCGUUGGCAAGAUCUCAAACCACAGCCAGCAGGUGUAAUAGCUUGUGUCCGACUGCCUCCCUGGUGCCAUCCAUCCAGCUGUAUUGCAGAACAAGCUCUAAUCCAAAAUGUAGCCUAAAGCCUAACAUCCGCAACUCGUACAGGGAGGGACUUCUGAUACCCUGUAGGUAAUUUCCUAAUAAAUAAAAAAAGAUUUAUUUCAAAUAAAUAAAUCAAUAGCAUUUCCCACAAUGUAAGAAAGGUACUGAAGGCAUUUUUUUUUUUUCCCCUGGUAUUGUGAGUGUAUUAAUUCCAUUAAGGUUAACUGUGUACAAAGUUUUGGCUGCUGGUGGAAAUGAUAGCCCUGAAGAAAGAUAUUAGCCCUGAAGAAAGGGAACUUACUCUUCUGGUUGGGAUGUUUUACUGCCUCUUCCUGUUGGGGCUGGUGAGCUCAUACCGUGGUUCAGGUCAUUCUGGGUAGCAUCACUCUGAUGUGGCAGGCGUAGCCUACUGCACGCUGAGAUGCUAUGGACACUUAGUUCUGCUGAACAAUGAGAGCUGCCUCGACAUGGCCAGCAGGCAGCAGCUAAUUGUUCCUGGGGCCAGAGCAGUGAUUUAUUUGGCACAAGGUGCUAAAAAUGGCAACUUGAAAAGAGAAAAAGGCGAGAAAAGCAACCAACAGCAGAAAACUGGCACUGAGCUCGCAUCGGUAACUCCAGCACUGAUCCUGGCUGCAUUCAAGAUGGUCUUGAGAAACAGCAGUAACUUCAGUACGCUGUCUUUCGUGGCUGUACCGGGUGACAUUUUCUUCUGCUCCUCCAAAUCUGGCUGGUGAGAGGAGGCCGGGCUCUCUCGCUGGUGUCACCCUGUGGAGCAACCCGCAGCCCACUGGACAGCCCAGGUCAGCAAGGGGUGGGUGCCACACGGCCAUGGUGGUACUCCUCAGCCUUCUCCCAUGGGAUCUUCAGGCACGAGACCUCCACCACGGGCUGGGACAGGGCAGCAGGGCUAGUGACGUGCUACCACCGGCUGGACUCCCCGCAACAGCCACCCACCUGAGAACUGAGCCUCUCCCAGCCCCUCUCCUGGAUGCUCCUCAGUACCAUGACGGAUGCCAGCUGCUGGUUCCAGACAGUACUAAAAAUGACUCACAGGACUCGCAGGCUGCAGGGUGACGCUGCGAAGAGCUGAGCAGGAUUUAGCUGGGAAGUUCCUGCAACGGGGGAGUCAACUUGUGAUGACCCCUGUGUCCUGCUGCAGGAGGCAACAAAGGUCCGUUCUAGAGUCCAGCUGCUAAAGCCAGAGCAGCCCUUGCACCAGCUGCCCAGGACGCCUGCGGCUUGUGGGGCUGAGAUGAUUUACUAGCACUGUAAAGAAGUUGGAGACCAUUGCCUGCUUGGAGGUAUUUGCUGGUGAAGGGGAAAUCCUGAGGAUGUAAUUGUUUUUGUCACAGGUCUGCCGUUGAUUGUUUUGUUCUGAGGGUUUUUUUGUUAGCUUUUCACAAUUUCUCCAAUAAGAGUUCAGCCCUCAUGUCUUCUGACUUCUUCUUUCUAAUCAUCGUCAUCAGUCCUUUGUAAUCUUUGUCAGCCACUCCAAGCUAGGGUUUAACAGCUGAAACUAGUGAAAUGUCCUAAAAACCUAGGAGUUGUCUCCUUACAGCAGCAGAAAAACUGAAUUCCUCAUGUGUGUUAUUUUCCUCUCCUGAAGUCUACAACCACACGGUUUACACCUGAUUUAUUUAUAGUAUCACUUGCUGUUAGUGUUCUUCCCUCCCAUUGGAAUAUAGACUUGUAUUUUGCUUGGAGCGAAGGCAACACAGAGGGGCCUGUUACAGCAUGUUUUAGUGCCUAGAUGCAACAUU